rnacentral:SRP_RNA from 1 species
GCUGGGCACGGUGGCGGGUGCCUGUAAUCCCAGCUACUAUGGAGGCUGAGGCAGGAGAAUCGCUUGAACCUGGGAGGUGGGGGUUGCAGUGAGCUGAGAUGGUGCCACUGCACUCCAGCCAGGGUGAUAGAGCGAGAUUCUGUUUCAA